ensembl:lncRNA
CUUAAAGUAGCUUUACAUAGACAGUGUUGUCAUUAUUCAGUUCAAUACAGUUAAUCAGUAAUUCAAUUCAGUUCAUCAUUGAUUCAAUUCAGUUCAGUAACUGUGAAAGUUGCAAAGAUAAUUAAUUAUUAAACGAUUCAGUGACCAGUGUUAUUAUUCAGCUUAAUUCAGUUCAUUGUUGAUUCAGUUCAGUUAAGUGUUGAUUUAAUUUAUUUCGAUAGCCUAACUAUCAAUGUUGAAAUAGAUAUCAAUUACGCAAAGAAUUGAAUUUAGCUAUAAAGCAGCUCUACAGAAGACAGCAGUGUCUUUAUUCAGCUCAGUUCAAUGUUUAUUCAGUUCAGUUCAAAUUUAAUCAAUUAUGAAAUGUUCAAUUAUUCAGCUCAAGUCAGUUCAGUGUUCAUUCAAAACAGUAACACACUGUCACGGUGUCUGUUCUGUGUCUCCCUGGGUGGCCACUAGAGGUCUCACUUCCCCUGAUUGUCACCCCCUUCUGAACUACAUUUCCCACUAGCCUUAUCUGUUCAUCACUGUUCAUUGUGUUCAGCUGUCACCACUUACCUUGUUUGCACCUGUCUUUAAAUACCCUGGUUGUUUCUGUCAUUGUUACGGAGUCCUUGUUGAAUGUCACCCUGCGUUUUCCUGGUUCCCUGGUUUUUCGUGUUUCUGGAUGUUGUCUAUGUUUCUUGUUUUGGACGGAUUACCUGGAUUUUGACCUUUGCCUGGAUGUUUUCUGAUUUUGGAUCACCCCAAUAAACAUACUGCUUUUGGAUCUACCUGUCUGUGUGCGUGUCGUGACAGAAGGACUCCGUCAUGCCUAGAUCCAGCGGUAUGUUUUUUGAGGUUUCUCCCCCAGCCAUCGAGCGGGAGAGAAGGAUAGAGUUUGAGGGAACCCGCCUGGUCAUUUUUCGUGGGACCCGGGGAGGUCGCAGAGGAGUGAGUGGUCGAGAGGAGGCUCAGAAUCGCUCUCAACCAUGGCCCCCCUUCGAUCCGGGGCUCGUGUGGGAUGGAUCAGAGCCACUGUCUCACCAUGGCAGACGGAGAGGGGAGAAGAAGCGCACGUCCGCCAUGGUGGCGCCACUGCCCAUGAUGCCACUGCCAGGGCCAGCGCCACGAGGCAAGAUGGACGCCAGCUCAGCGCCACAGCACAAGGUGGUCACCAGCCCCACGCCACGAGGCCAGACGGCCGCCAGCCCAGCGCCACUGUCCAAGAUGGCCACUGAGACAUUUUUGAAUUACUUCUCCAGGUUGAACAAGAUCCUAGAGGUUCCCAGGAGUGUUCACGUCACGGCUGCUGAGCCAGCGCCACAGCACAAGAUGGCCGCCAGCCCGGCGCCACAGCACAAGAUGGCCGCCAGCCCUGCGCCACAGCACAAGAUGGCCACCAGCCCAGCGCCACAGCACAGGAUGGUUGACUCAACGCCUGAGUCUUCCGUCAAGGAGCCACCGGCACGUCAUCAUAGAGGCCGCAGGAGGAGGAGACAGGCGUCAGCCGUUCCUCAAAGCCCGGAGGACGUUCCCGAGCAGGCCGCUGCCGUCCAGGAGGACGUUCCCGAGCAGGCCGCUGCCGUCCAGGAGGACGUGUCCAAGGUUCCCGAUGCCGAGGCAGUUCCCGAUGCAAUGCCCGAUGCCGAGGCGGUGCCCGAUGCCGAGGCGGUGCCUGAGGCGGUGCCGGAGGUGGCCGAGGCGGUGCCCGAUGCAAUGUCCGAUGCCGAGGCAGUGCCCGAUGCCGAGGCGGUGCCCGAUGCCGAGGCGGUGCCCGAUGCCGAGGCGGUGCCCGAUGCGGUGCCAGAGACGGUGCCAGAGACGGUUCCCGAUGUAAUGCCCGAGACCGAGGCUGUUCCGGAGGUCGAGGCGGUGCCCGAUGUUGUUCCCGAUGCCGAGGCGGUGCCCGAUGUUGUGCCCGAUGCCGAGGCUGUGCCCGAUGCCGAGGCUGUGCCCGAUGCCGAGGCUGUGCCCGAUGCCGGCGGUGCCCGAUGCUGUUCCGGAGGCCGAGGCGGUGCCCGAUGCUGUUCCGGAGGCCGAGGCGGUGCCCGAUGCGGUUCCGGAGGCCGAGGCGGUGCCCGAGUUGGUUCCAGAGACCGAGGCGGUGCCCGAUGCGCAGGCCGAGGUCGUUCCCGAGGCGGUGCCCGAACCGUCUCUGGCACCGUCUCUGGCACCGCAUCGGGCACCGCCUCGGCAUCGGGCACCGCCUCGGGCACCGCCUCGGCAUCGGACAUUGCAUCGGGAACCGCAUCGGCAACCGCAACGGGCACCGCCUCGGCAUCGGGCACCGCCUCGGCAGUGGACAUUGCAUCGGGAACCGCCUCGGCAUCGGGGACCGCCUCGGCCUCGGGCACCGCAUCGGGCACCGCCUCGGCAUCGGGGACCGCCUCGGGCACCGCCUCGGCAUCGGGGACCGCCUCGGCAUCGGACAUUGCAUCGGGAACCGCCUCGGGCACCUCCGGAACAGCCUCGGUCUCGGGCAUUACAUCGGGCACCGCCUCGGCAUCGGGCACCGCCUCGGCAUCGGGCACCGCCUCGGGCACCGCCCUGGCAUCGGGGACCGCCUCGGCAUCGGGCAUAGCAUCGGGAACCGCUUCUGUCUCGGCCACCUUCUCGGCCUCGGGCAUUGCAUCGGGAACCGCCUCGGGCUCGGCAUCGGGCACCGCCUCGGGAACGGCCUCGGCAUCGGGCACCGCCUCGGGAACCUUGGACACCUCCAUCUGGACGACCGCGGCCUGCUCGGGAACGUCCUCCUGGACGGCAGCGGCCUGCUCGGGAACGUCCUCCUGGACGGCAGCGGCCUGCUCGGGAACGUCCCUCCGGGCUUUGAGGAACGGCUGACGCCUGUCUCCUCCUCCUGCGGCCUCUAUGAUGACGUGCCGGUGGCUCCUUGACGGAAGACUCAGGCGUUGAGUCAACCAUCUUGUCUGCCAACACAGGUGUAGAUUCGACCCUCCUGUGCAGUGGUGCUGGGCUGGUGGUCAUCUCGUGCUGUGGUGCUGGGCUGGCGGCCAUCUUGUGCUGUGGCGCUGGGCUGGCGGCCAUCUUGUGCUGUGGCGCUGGGCUGGCGGCCAUCUUGUGCUGUGGCGCUGGGUUGGUGGCCAUCUUGUGCUGUGGCGCUGGGCUGGCGGCCCUCUUCUCUGGAGACACAGGUGUGGUCGAAGUAUCCCAUUGAGCACGAUGGCACAGGUAAUGGGUAAAACCCCCAAAAAGUCUAGGAUCUCCAGCCCCUUCAUCUCCCAUUGAGGUAAAGGGUCAUCCAGACAGUUGUUAAAAAAGUCCUUCAGUGCUGCAUCGUUAUAACCCAUCCCGACCGCCAUGGUCCAAAACAAUUGCGCCAGGCCACCCACCUCACUCCCCCUUUGACGAAGGGUGGUUAAGUUCCGGAAUCUCCCCCUCCGUUCCUCCAUGGUGGCUGGGGAACCGAUUCGAAAUCCCACACCGCUGGAUCUAGGCAUGACGGAGUCCUUCUGUCACGACACGCACACAAACAGGUAGAUCCAAUUGCAGUAUGUUUUAUUAGGAUAAUCCAAAUCUCAUGGUCAGCCAGGCAAAGGUCACAAUCCAGGUAAGCAGUCCAGAAACAAGAAACAUACACAACAUCCGAGAACCACGACAAACCAGGGUGACAUUCAACAAGGACUCCGUGACAAUGACAGAACAACCGGGGUAUUUAUACACAAGGAAAUGACAAUGCUAACGGGGAAUUGGCUGAGUGCAAUGAUUGAUAACCACGGACAGCUGAGUGCAAUGAGCAGUGAUGAAACAGACAAGACUAUGGGAAAUGCAGUUCUAAAGUGGAGUGACGAUAAGGGGAAGUGAGACCUCUAGUGGCCACCCAGGGAGACACAGAACAGACACCGUGACAGCAGGGGGUCGCGAGGACUGGAAUUGAAAAUUAACUUUGCAUAAAAAGUACCAGAUAUGGUAUCAUACCGUAAAAUAUUUUUAAUACGACUGACUUUGUAUUUAAUGUGAAUUUAAUAAAAACCAUUGUAAGUUACUAAUUAGCCUAUAACACUUUCAUUGUACAAAACUAGUGUGCCGCACUAGUCCUCAAAAGUGAAGCUUUCACGUUUCGAUCGGCCCCCAGGUGGCUGGUCCCAGUAUAGCCUAGGUCAUAAACCCCGCCCUCUCCAUGUAAUCUAACGAUACGUGAGACAAACUAAAUAAUUAAAAUUCACUUCAAAUAUUUUGUUUUCAAACAUGGUUUAUGUCAUUUGAUGUAGAUUUUAUCACGCUGAUGUAAGUUAGGGUGUUUGUUUUUAAAAUAAGUGUGGUUUUUGUUAGUUAUGUGAUGCUAUAAAAACGGGAGUGUGACGUCAUGAUUGACAGCUUAGACUGACAGCUCCUCUGAGCAAACUGAGGCACCAACGGACUUUUUCAGACGUUCAAGCACUCUCAAAAACUAUUUUAACAUUCCAGAAAGUUCUGUCCUC